AGGGAAUCUUCCGCAAUGGACGCAAGUCUGACGGAGCAACGCCGCGUGAGUGAAGAAGGUCUUCGGAUCGUAAAACUCUGUUGUUAGAGACGAACAAGUACCGUUUGAACAAGGCGGUACCCUGACGGUAUCUAACGAGAAAGCCCCGGCUAACUACGUGCCAGCAGCCGCGGUAAUACGUAGGGGGCAAGCGUUGUCCGGAAUUAUUGGGCGUAAAGCGCGCGCAGGCGGUCUCCUAAGUCUGAUGUGAAAGCCCACGGCUCAACCGUGGAGGGUCAUUGGAAACUGGGAGACUUGAGUGUAGGAGAGGAAAGCGGAAUUCCACGUGUAGCGGUGAAAUGCGUAGAGAUGUGGAGGAACACCAGUGGCGAAGGCGGCUUUCUGGCCUAUAACUGACGCUGAGGCGCGAAAGCGUGGGGAGCAAAC
rnacentral:rRNA from 1 species